rnacentral:rRNA from 1 species
UUGUGCCAGCCGCCGCGGUAAUACGAAGGGGGCUAGCGUUGCUCGGAAUCACUGGGCGUAAAGGGCGCGUAGGCGGCCAUUUAAGUCGGGGGUGAAAGCCUGUGGCUCAACCACAGAAUUGCCUUCGAUACUGGGUGGCUUGAGUCCGGAAGAGGUUGGUGGAACUGCGAGUGUAGAGGUGAAAUUCGUAGAUAUUCGCAAGAACACCGGUGGCGAAGGCGGCCAACUGGUCCGGAACUGACGCUGAGGCGCGAAAGCGUGGGGAGCAAACAGGAUUAGAU